AUUGAACGCUGGCGGCAGGCCUAACACAUGCAAGUCGAACGAGCGGCGGACGGGUGAGUAAUGCAUGGGGAUCUGCCUGAUGGAGGGGGAUAACUACGGGAAACUGUAGCUAAUACCGCAUACCAUAGGAUGAGCCCAAGUGGGAUUAGCUAGUUGGUGAGGUAAAGGCUCACCAAGCCGACGAUCCCUAGCUGGUCUGAGAGGAUGACCAGCCAAACUGGGACUGAGACACGGCCCAGACUCCUACGGGAGGCAGCAGUGGGGAAUAUUGCGCAAUGGGGGCAAGCCUGACGCAGCCAUGCCGCGUGAAUGAAGAAGGCCUUCGGGUUGUAAAGUACUUUCAGUAGGGAGGCGUUACCGACAGAAGAAGCACCGGCUAACUCCGUGCCAGCAGCCGCGGUAAUAC
rnacentral:rRNA from 1 species